rnacentral:misc_RNA from 1 species
GAUGAAGAACGCAGCGAAAUGCGAUAAGUAAUGUGAAUUGCAGAAUUCAGUGAAUCAUCGAAUCUUUGAACGCACAUUGCGCCCGCCAGUAUUCUGGCGGGCAUGCCUGUCCGAGCGUCAUUUCAACCCUCGAACCCCUCCGGGGGGUCGGCGUUGGGGACCUCGGGAGCCCCUAAGACGGGAUCCCGGCCCCGAAAUACAGUGGCGGUCUCGCCGCAGCCUCUCCUGCGCAGUAGUUUGCACAACUCGCACCGGGAGCGCGGGGCGUCCACGUCCGUAAAACACCCAACUUCUGAAAUGUUGACCUCGGAUCAGGUAGGAAUACCCGCUGAACUUAAGCAUAUCAAUAAGCGGAGGA